CCUACGGGCGGCUGCAGUGGGGAAUUUUGGGCAAUGGGGGAAACCCUGACCCAGCGACGCCGCGUGGAGGAUGAAGGCCUUCGGGUUGUAAACUUCUUUGGCCAGGGACGAUAAUGACUGUACCUGGAGAACAAGCCACGGCUAACUACGUGCCAGCAGCCGCGGUAAUACGUAGGUGGCAAGCGUUAUCCGGAAUUACUGGGUGUAAAGGGCGUGUAGGCGGCCUUAUAAGUUGGGUGUUUAAUUCCCGGGCUCAACCCGGGGUUGUCACUUAAAACUGUAGGGCUUGAGGCUCAGAGAGGACAGUGGAAUUCCUAGUGUAGCGGUAAAAUGCGUAGAUAUUAGGAGGAACACCAGUGGCGAAGGCGGCUGUCUGGCUGAGUACUGACGCUGAUGCGCGAAAGCGUGGGGAGCAAACAGGCUUAGAUACCCUGGUAGUC
rnacentral:rRNA from 1 species